GAUUGAAGCAUCUCCCAUGAUUCUCUUCUCCUACUUCGCUCAACAAAACCUUAAAAGCCUGUCAUUCUCCAAUCCACACCUUGGGGAUUAUGAAUAAGCAUAUCUACAAAAUGAGAAGAAUACAACUGAAUAUGUACUGCCUGUCUAUCUUUCCACAACACUACUAAACCUCCACCACGCCUUUCUCUAUCCAUAGAAAAACCUCCUUCAAAUCCCAACACCACGCGCAAUUCCUCAAUUUUG
rnacentral:misc_RNA from 1 species